AUGGAAGCCCUGUAAGGGGUGGAGUUGACCGGUACUAAUAGGCCGAGGGCUUGUCCUCAGUUGCUCGCGUCCACUGUGUUGGUUCUGAAACCACGAACACCAACCACACACCCAUGCGUGGGUUGUGGUUGCUGGUGUGUUUCGUAGUGUUUCGGUGGUCAUAGCGUGAGGGAAACGCCCGGUUACAUUCCGAACCCGGAAGCUAAGCCUUACAGCGCCGAUGGUACUGCAGGGGGGACCCUGUGGGAGAGUAGGACGCCGCCGAAC
rnacentral:rRNA from 1 species